rnacentral:rRNA from 1 species
UUUCCCUCAGGAUAGCUGGCACUCGCUUGAGCGAGUCUCAUCUGGUAAAGCGAAUGAUUAGAGGCCUUGGGGCCGAAACGACCUCACUAUUCUCAAACUUUAAAUGGGUGAGAUCUCUGGCUUGCUUGAACGUUGAAGCCACGAGAUUUGACUAUGAUCAGAGUGCCAGUGGCCAUUUGUAAGCAGAACUGCGCUGUGGA